rnacentral:rRNA from 1 species
UACGAAGGGGGCGAGCGUUGUUCGGAAUUACUGGGCGUAAAGCGCGCGCAGGCGGCUAUCCAAGUCAGUGGUGAAAGCCCGGAGCUCAACUCCGGAACUGCCAUUGAAACUGUUUAGCUUGAGGACGAGAGAGGUGAGUGGAAUUCCCAGUGUAGAGGUGAAAUUCGUAGAUAUUGGGAAGAACACCGGUGGCGAAGGCGGCUCACUGGCUCGUAUCUGACGCUCAGGCGCGACAGCGUGGGGAUCAAACAGG